rnacentral:lncRNA from 1 species
CUGAUGCAAAACCUCCCUGAUUUCUUCAGCCUCUCACAGCUCUUACCCAUGAAGAGAGAGAAACACCCUGAAAGGCAGCAACACAUGUGAUGUCUUAUCCUGCGUAGCUUUACGACAACCAGCUACAAGUCAGCAUGUGAAUUGCAUUUCUCCACAGUUGCUGCAAUGAAAGACAAACCCUGGGACCCAGCAUAUGUAGCCCAGUUCCCAGAAGAGAUUGCCUAAGGAAGUGAGGGAAUCACCAGUGUUGUUUUUGUACGCUGAUGUUGGGCACCUUUCCUGAGGCUUCCUGCCAUGCCCACACUAAUUUGGAUGAUGGACCCACAGAGAUGUGCUGGAACAGGAAUCAGGAUGUGCAAGUAAUCUGCAAAACACCUUCCUGAAAUUGCUGGAAGACUCACAAGCAGUAGUGAAUAAACACCAUUUCCAUUAAGUCA